rnacentral:rRNA from 1 species
AACGUACGCUGGCGGCACGCCUAACACAUGCAAGUCGAGCGAGGUAGCAAUACCUAGCGGCAGACGGGUGCGUAACAUGUGGGAAUCUGCCUUUUGGUUCGGAACAACACGGGGAAACCUGUGCUAAUACCGGAUAAGUCCUUACGGAGAAAGUUUUAAUGCCAAAAGAUGAGCCCGCAUUUGAUUAGCUAGUUGGUGAGGUAAAAGCUCACCAAGGCGAUAAUCAAUAGCUGAUUUGAGAGGAUGAUCAGCCACACUGGGACUGAGAUACGGCCCAGACUCCUACGGGAGGCAGCAGUGGGGAAUCUUGCACAAUGGGCGAAAGCCUGAUGCAGCGAUGCCGCGUGAGUGAAGAAGGCCUUUGGGUUGUAAAGCUCUUUUGUCGGGAAAGAUAAUGACUGUACCCGAAGAAUAAGGUCCGGCUAACUUCGUGCCAGCAGCCGCGGUAAUACGAAGGGACCUAGCGUAGUUCGGAAUUACUGGGCGUAAAGAGUAUGUAGGCGGCUAGAUAAGUUAAUUGUGAAAGCCCAAAGCUUAACUUUGGAAUUGCAAUUAAAACUAUUUAGCUGGAGUAUGAUAGAGGAAAGCGGAAUACAUAGUGUAGAGGUGAAAUUCGUAGAUAUUAUGUAGAACACCAGUUGCGAAGGCGGCUUUCUGGAUCAUUACUGACGCUGAGAUACGAAAGUAUGGGUAGCGAAGAGGAUUAGAUACCCUCGUAGUCCAUACCAUAAACGAUGAUUAUUAGAUGUGGGGAAUUAUUUCUCUGUAUCAUAGCUAACGCGUUAAAUAAUCCGCCUGGGGAGUACGACCGCAAGGUUAAAACUCAAAUGAAUUGACGGGGACCCGCACAAGCGGUGGAGCAUGUGGUUUAAUUCGAAGCAGCGCGCAGAACCUUACCAACCCUUGACAUGUUCGUCGCGAGACUAAGAAAUUAGUCUCU